AAAUCCACAUCGGGUCCAUGAAGGGCCCGAUAGAAGCGUCCAUGUAACUCCUUGCUCUUCCAUACCCCCUUGCGAUUCUCAGUACUUAGUACUACGGGUUUGCGCCAGUUCUCUUUGCCUAAGGAGAGCGGAUGAGCGUCGUGUAGCGAAA